AUUGAACGCUGGCGGAAUGCUUUACACAUGCAAGUCGAACGGCAGCACGGGUGCUUGCACCUGGUGGCGAGUGGCGGACGGGUGAGUAAUGCAUCGGAACGUGCCGUAUAGUGGGGGAUAACGCAUCGAAAGGUGUGCUAAUACCGCAUACGCCCUGAGGGGGAAAGUGGGGGACCGUAAGGCCUCACGCUAUACGGGCGGCCGAUGUCCGAUUAGCUAGUUGGUGGGGUAAAGGCUCACCAAGGCGACGAUCGGUAGCUGGUCUGAGAGGACGACCAGCCACACUGGGACUGAGGCACGGCCCAGAAGACUACGGGAGGCAGCAGUGGGGGAUUUUGGACAAUGGGGGCAACCCUGAUCCAGCCAUUCCGCGUGGGUGAAGAAGGCCUUCGGGUUGUAAAGCUCUUUUGUCAGGGAGGAAAUCCUUAGCGUUAAUACCGUUGGGGGAUGACAGUACCUGAAGAAUAAGGACCGGCUAACUACGUGCCAGCCGCCGCAGUAA
rnacentral:rRNA from 1 species